GUGUUGUUUGAAAGGAGAGGAGGUUAGCAUUCUCUUUGACAAGGAUUGAAAGGUCCUUGUGAAUUUACAACAUACAUAUGUUUAAGUCAUUGCUACUUACUCUAGUAAUAGUAAUAAUAAUAAUA